GCUCAAAACAGCAGUGCCUUCCCUGAC
rnacentral:sRNA from 1 species